AUAGCAAUGAAUUAAUAUAAUCAAUAAAUGAAAAAUUUGAUUUUGUUGUUUAAAGAUAUCAAGACAUUUCUACCACACAAACUCUUAUGGAUUUGAGUAUAUUACAUAUUAUGUGAUAUUAAUAGUAGAUUACCGAUCCAAACCUUGGAAAACAAUUGAUUCAGACAUAUCUUUCAGAACCAGUUUAUCAUCAGUCAGUGGAACGUCAAUUGAAUUAAAUAUUUGAAAGAAGAAUGGCUCUGACAUUUACUCCUAAAAUAUUAUGUCAGUUUUCAUAUUAUGGCCGUGAGAAGAAGGACAUUAAUUUGAAAAAUAGAUUGGUAAUAAAUUCAACUGUAAGCACAAUUAAAAUAUCACAGGAAACCUACCUCAACACACCGAGUUCAACACCGAAUCUGAUUUUGAACUAAAACUAGUGAAGAAGUAAAAAUUGUGAAGUACCAAUACAGCUUAUGUCCAGAAAAUUACUAGUUUGUCAUCCAAAACUUAUUUUUUCCCAAAUUAAUUGGUCAUGCACUAAAUAUACAAAAUGCAUAAGUACUCAUAAACAUUGAACAAAUGCAUAUGAAAAACAUACAAGAUUGAUAAAUUACUUAAUAGCAAUGAAACAUGAUCUAUAAUUGAAAAAUUAGAUUUAGUUGUUCAAAGAUAACAAGAAAGUUCUACCACACAAACUCUUAUGGAAUUGAGUAUAUUACAUAUUAUGUGAUAUUAAUAAUAGAUUUCCGAUCCAAACCUUGGAAAACAAUUUAUUCUGACAUAUUUUUCAGAACCAGUUUAUCAUCAGUCAGUGGAACGUCAAUUGAAUUAAAUAUUUGAAAGAAGAAUGGCUUUGACAUUUACUCCUAAAAUAUUAUGUCAGUUUUCAUAUUAUGGCCGUGAGAAGAAGGACAUUAAUUUGAAAAAUAGAUUGGUAAUAAAAUAAUAUUUGGUGUGAAACAUAUA